rnacentral:lncRNA from 1 species
UUUUAAAACUACAUGUUGAAGUCUGUACAAAUGGCCAGUUACCCACAUUUGCCUAUUACCUACACAUCUCAGUAUUAUACUGUCAUUGGCACAGACGAUGUCAUAGAACACCACAACAGGAUCAUGCAAUAACCUCAGGCAACAAAAAUAAAUUACAUUCAUUACACUACUCUUGCUUUUAUAUCUUUAUAACUACUAAGAUUCUAAUUCCAUUUCUUUUUAUAGCUUCUCUAGGGAAAAGGAGACCUACUGGUUGUCUUUAUACAAAAGCUCACUAAAAUUGUAUGGAUUUCAUUAAGCCACAGCUUGUGUU